rnacentral:rRNA from 1 species
GAUGAACGCUGGCGGCGUGCCUAAUACAUGCAAGUCGAGCGAACAGACGAGGAGCUUGCUCCUCUGACGUUAGCGGCGGACGGGUGAGUAACACGUGGAUAACCUACCUAUAAGACUGGGAUAACUUCGGGAAACCGGAGCUAAUACCGGAUAAUAUAUUGAACCGCAUGGUUCAAUAGUGAAAGACGGUUUUGCUGUCACUUAUAGCUGGAUCCGCGCCGCAUUAGCUAGUUGGUAAGGUAACGGCCUACCAAGGCAACGAUGCGUAGCCGACCUGAGAGGGUGAUCGGCCACACUGGAACUGAGACACGGUCCAGACUCCUACGGGAGGCAGCAGUAGGGAAUCUUCCGCAAAGGGCGAAAGCCUGACGGAGCAACGCCGCGUGAGUGAUGAAGGUCUUCGGAUCGUAAAACUCUGUUAUGAGGGAAGAACAAAUGUGUAAGUAACUAUGCACGUCUUGACGGUACCUAAUCAGAAAGCCACGGCUAACUACGUG